AAGCUGUUUGGUUCAAGGUACCUAUUAUCUAUCGACUCCUCGGACCUUUUCAUUUUUGUCAUAUCUUCUUCUUCUGCAUCGUGAUUAUAGUUAUCCAUUUACACAGACUGGAGCCCUACUUCUUGAUGGGAAUACAUUAAAUUACUUUGGAAAGAACAUUCCCAUUAACCUCAUUGUUGCUGUGGUUGCCGAGAUUGUACUAGUUGGAGGUGCAGAGUAUUACAGAAUUAUUAAUGGCUUGGUAUGUUCCAACAUUUUUUAAUGUGAUUUAUCUUGGCAUUGGCUAACAUAAUCAUAUAAUCAAAUAUUUUCCGAAUUGGGAUUUGAUUUGUGUAGGAUCUGGAGGACAAACUUCACCCAGGUGGUCCAUUCGAUCCUCUGGGUCUUGCCAAGGAUCCCGACCAGGCUGCAUUAUUGAAGGUGAAGGAGAUCAAGAAUGGUCGACUAGCCAUGUUCUCAAUGCUUGGUUUCUUCAUCCAGGCAUAUGUGACCGGACAGGGUCCCAUUGACAAUCUUGCAGCACACUUGAGCGAUCCUUUCGGCAACAACUUGCUCACUGUUAUUGCAGGAACUGCAGAAAGAGCUCCCACUCUGUAAUUCCCAUACACAUGUAAUUUGCUGAUUGAUGCCGAACAUUGUAUAAAUCACUUCGACAAUUUUCAAGGUCGUUAACAGUAAUUGCAACGGGGAACCUUUUUAAUUCACUCCUCGAGCUCUUGCUUCAACAUUUAAAAAACAGUUUAAACUUUUAAAUAAAAUGGUUAACAUGAAAUGUCCCACAAAACAUUUGGUUCCAAAUCUUAACUCCUAUCCGCUAUGAAGAUUGUGCACAUGCUGGAGUGUUCAACAAAAUAUAACCUCGAUUUACACUUGAAGAGUGUGAUUAAUUAAGCAAGCACCAUAUAUACAAGACCGUAGUAGGGAAAAACAUUGUGUAUACACACAUUGAGAUAUUAUCUAUCGACUCCUCGGACCUUUUCAUUUUUGUCAUAUCUUCUUCUUCUGCAUCGUGAUUAUAGUUAUCCAUUUACACAGACUGGAGCCCUACUUCUUGAUGGGAAUACAUUAAAUUACUUUGGAAAGAACAUUCCCAUUAACCUCAUUGUUGCUGUGGUUGCCGAGAUUGUACUAGUUGGAGGUGCAGAGUAUUACAGAAUUAUUAAUGGCUUGGUAUGUUCCAACAUUUUUUAAUGUGAUUUAUCUUGGCAUUGGCUAACAUAAUCAUAUAAUCAAAUAUUUUCCGAAUUGGGAUUUGAUUUGUGUAGGAU
rnacentral:lncRNA from 1 species